UGAAACAGCAGAAAAAAUUAAUGCAAUAUAUUUGAGAAAGAGAAAUAUAGAAUCUCAAAUGCUAACUGAGUAUUUAAAUAAAAAAGAAAGUGAGAUUAGUACAGAUACAAUUCUAAUUAAUGACAUUAAUGACUUCAAAAUAACUAAUAGUGAUACUAUAAUCUGAUUGAGUAGGGAAAUAUGUUUGUUUUUGCAGAAUUUAAAUAAAGAAGUUGCUAAUACUAUUUCGAGUGGAGUACAAAAAGAAUUUCAAAACUUUAACAAAAAAGAGGUUAAUAAUACUAUUUCGAGUGGAGUACUAAAAGAAUUUCAAAACCCUAACAAAAAAGAGGUUAAAGACGACGCUCUGGGUUCGUAUGAUGAAGAUGACGAUGAUGAUGAUGAUGAUGACCAUGAUGUGAAUAUUUUCGAUGAGGAUAAUCCAGAGCCAUGCAUUACAAGAUCACCUAGUGAGGAGGAAUCUAUUCUUGUCGAAGGUGGAAUAAGUAACUACAUACAAACUAUUCCUUUAAAUUUAGAUAAGGAUAAUGAUGAAUAUAUAAAAUCAAUUCCUUUAAGUAAUGAUGAUAAUAAAAUCUAUAUAUUAGAGGGUGGUAUAAAUAGUUAUGUACAAACUAUACCACUAAAUAUAGAAGAAAGUAAGCAAAUUGAAUGUAAUUCGAAGAAAACAUUUUAAUUGUUCUUUAAAAUAAAAAAUUUAUAAUAUUGUUUUUGGAAA